rnacentral:rRNA from 1 species
AUGAACGCUAGCUACAGGCUUAACACAUGCAAGUCGAGGGGCAGCAUGGUCUUAGCUUGCUAAGGCCGAUGGCGACCGGCGCACGGGUGAGUAACACGUAUCCAACCUGCCGUCUACUCUUGGACAGCCUUCUGAAAGGAAGAUUAAUACAAGAUGGCAUCAUGAGUCCACAUGUUCACAUGAUUAAAGGUAUUCCGGUAGACGAUGGGGAUGCGUUCCAUUAGAUAGUAGGCGGGGUAACGGCCCACCUAGUCUUCGAUGGAUAGGGGUUCUGAGAGGAAGGUCCCCCACAUUGGAACUGAGACACGGUCCAAACUCCUACGGGAGGCAGCAGUGAGGAAUAUUGGUCAAUGGGCGAGAGCCUGAACCAGCCAAGUAGCGUGAAGGAUGACUGCCCUAUGGGUUGUAAACUUCUUUUGUAAAGGAAUAAAGUCGGGUAUGGAUACCCGUUUGCAUGUACUUUAUGAAUAAGGAUCGGCUAACUCCGUGCCAGCAGCCGCGGUAAUACGGAGGAUCCGAGCGUUAUCCGGAUUUAUUGGGUUUAAAGGGAGCGUAGAUGGAUGUUUAAGUCAGUUGUGAAAGUUUGCGGCUCAACCGUAAAAUUGCAGUUGAUACUGGAUAUCUUGAGUGCAGUUGAGGCAGGCGGAAUUCGUGGUGUAGCGGUGAAAUGCUUAGAUAUCACGAAGAACUCCGAUUGCGAAGGCAGCCUGCUAAGCUGCAACUGACAUUGAGGCUCGAAAGUGUGGGUAUCAAACAGGAUUAGAUACCCUGGUAGUCCACACGGUAAACGAUGAAUACUCGCUGUUUGCGAUAUACGGCAAGCGGCCAAGCGAAAGCGUUAAGUAUUCCACCUGGGGAGUACGCCGGCAACGGUGAAACUCAAAGGAAUUGACGGGGGCCCGCACAAGCGGAGGAACAUGUGGUUUAAUUCGAUGAUACGCGAGGAACCUUACCCGGGCUUAAAUUGCAGAUGAAUUACGGUGAAAGCCGUAAGCCGCAAGGCAUCUGUGAAGGUGCUGCAUGGUUGUCGUCAGCUCGUGUCGUGAGAUGUUGGGUUAAGUCCCGCAACGAGCGCAACCCUUGCUAUUAGUUGCUACGCAAGAGCACUCUAAUAGGACUGCCGUUGACAAAACGGAGGAAGGUGGGGAUGACGUCAAAUCAUCAUGCCCUUUAUGACUUGGGCUACACACGUACUACAAUGGCGUUAAACAAAGAGAAGCAAGACCGCGAGGUGGAGCAAAACUCAAAAACAACGUCUCAGUUCAGAUUGCAGGCUGCAACUCGCCUGCAUGAAGUCGGAAUUGCUAGUAAUCGCGGAUCAGCAUGCCGCGGUGAAUACGUUCCCGGGCCUUGUACACACCGCCCGUCACACCACGAAAGUUGGUAACACCCGAAGCCGGUGAGGUAACCUAUUAGGAGCCAGCCGUCUAAGGUGGGGCCGAUGAUUGGGGUG